GGCGUUGUAGCUCGUUGGAAGAGCAGGCGCUUAGGGCGCCAGGCAGUGAGUUCAAUUCUCAUCAACGGCU
rnacentral:tRNA from 1 species